UUAAAUAUAAGCUCCUUUCAAUGUUUGAGUCUUUUGAUAUAUAUAUAAUUCGCCUCAAAAUAAUUCACGUUUACGGUAUGUUGGAUUUUACAAUCAUGAUUUUGAAGAAGAAGAGGAGGAGGAGGAGAAAGACGAAGAUGAAGAAGAAAAAGAAAUCAUUAAUUGCUGAAGUAGAAGGAAGAAGAAGAAGCGGUAUGGCCAAAUGACCAUUUCAGGUAAUUUUAAUAAUAUUGAUCCAAUUUUUUUAAAAACUAAAAUGACCGAGUGGUCAUAAAUUACAAAAAACCACAAACCUAAGAGGCCUUAUUACCCCAAACCCCUUAUUUUUUAAAUAAUUACUUAAAAUUUCGAUAUUAUAUUUUACUCUUGAUACAUAUGAAUAAAACCCACCUUACUUUUACUCCACAAUUAAAGUAUGCAAUCUAUUUAUCUCUGAAGAUUUUUUUUUCUAAAUAUUUCAUCCCCUAAAAUCUCUCCCAAAUUAUCAUCAAUUGAUACAACUUCCAUCUCCUUUACUGCAACUUCUUCACUAAUUUCAUUAAUUUUUUUUUAAUCUUUUUAUCAACUUUUCUUUUAUCAAUUUUUAAUUCUUUUUCAACUUUUAAGUCAGUACCCAUUAAGAAAAAGUCAUUAAAGAAAAGAGGAGAAAUUGAACAAUCAGUUGUUAGAUUUUCGACGAAAAUGAUCAAAGUGAUGGUGGUGGUGAGGACGAACGAAAGAGGGGUGGGAUAACCAAGCGGCGGUGAUUGUGCAGACGAACGACAGAGGGAGAUGGUGAUGGUGGAUUAUAUGCAUCAAUCAUAAGUAAAUUGAACAAUCAGUUGUUAGAUUUUCGACGAUAAUGACCAAAGUGACGGUAGUGGUGAAGACGAACGACGGAGGGGGUAGCCAAGAUGGCGGUGAUGGUGUGGACGGAUGAUGGAUGGGGAGGAUUAUAUGUAUCAAUCAUAAGUAUCAAGACAUAUACAUUUGUAUCAAUCAUAUGUAUCAAAUAUAUGUAUUUAAUACAUCUAUAAAUAUAUAUCAAGAAUUUGUAUAUUCUUUUCAUAAUUUUAA
rnacentral:lncRNA from 1 species